rnacentral:tRNA from 1 species
GGGCCGCUAGCUCAAUGGUAGAGCAGCUGACUCUUAAUCAGCUGGUUAGAGGUUCGAGUCCUCUGCGGCUCACCA